UCAGUUGGUAGAGCGCAACCUUGCCAAGGUUGAGGUCACGAGUUCGAACCUCGUGUGUCGCUCCA
rnacentral:tRNA from 5 species